rnacentral:rRNA from 1 species
UUGCACGCUGGCGGCAGGCCUAACCCAUGCAAGUCGCGCGGAUGAAGGGAGCUUGCUCCUGGAUUCAGCGGCGGACGGGUGAGUAAUGCCUAGGAAUCUGCCUGGUAGUGGGGGAUAACGUCCGGAAACGGGCGCUAAUACCGCAUACGUCCUGAGGGAGAAAGUGGGGGAUCUUCGGACCUCACGCUAUCAGAUGAGCCUAGGUCGGAUUAGCUAGUUGGUGGGGUAAAGGCCUACCAAGGCGACGAUCCGUAACUGGUCUGAGAGGAUGAUCAGUCACACUGGAACUGAGACACGGUCCAGACUCCUACGGGAGGCAGCAGUGGGGAAUAUUGGACAAUGGGCGAAAGCCUGAUCCAGCCAUGCCGCGUGUGUGAAGAAGGUCUUCGGAUUGUAAAGCACUUUAAGUUGGGAGGAAGGGCAGUAAGUUAAUACCUUGCUGUUUUGACGUUACCAACAGAAUAAGCACCGGCUAACUUCGUG